GGAUGCGAUCAUACCAAUAAAACUCACCGGAUCCCAUCAGAACUCUGAAGUUAAACGCGCUUGGAUGAGAGUAGUACUAGUACGGGUGACACCCUGGGAAGUCCUCGUGUUGCAUCCC
rnacentral:rRNA from 1 species